CCUANGGGGGGCUGCAGUGAGGAAUCUUGCGCAAUGGACGAAAGUCUGACGCAGCGACGCCGCGUGGAGGAUGAAGGUCUUCGGAUCGUAAACUCCUGUUAAGUGGGAAGAAAUACCAGCUUGUCUGGGGAUGACGGUACCACUAGAGAAAGCACCGGCUAACUUCGUGCCAGCAGCCGCGGUAAUACGAGGGGUGCAAACGUUAUUCGGAAUAAUUGGGCGUAAAGGGUGCGUAGACGGCGCGUUUAGCUUACUGUUAAAGAUCCCAGCUUAACUGGGAAAGUGCAGUGAGAACUGGCGUGCUAGAGGGCGGAAGAGAGAAGUGGAAUUCCCGGAGUAGCGGUAAAAUGCGUAGAUCUCGGGAGGAACAUCGAUUGCGUAGGCAGCUUCUUGGUCCGUUUCUGACGUUGAGGCACGAAAGCGUGGGGAGCAAACAGGAUUAGAUACCCCGNUANUC
rnacentral:rRNA from 1 species